rnacentral:rRNA from 1 species
UGGGGAUGACGUCAAAUCAUCAUGCCCCUUAUGAUUUGGGCUACACACGUGCUACAAUGGACAAUACAAAGGGCAGCAAAACCGUGAGGUCAAGCAAAUCCCAUAAAGUUGUUCUCAGUUCGGAUUGUAGUCUGCAACUCGACUACAUGAAGCUGGAAUCGCUAGUAAUCGUAGAUCAGCAUGCUACGGUGAAUACGUUCCCGGGUCUUGUACACACCGCCCGUCACACCACGAGAGUUUGUAACACCCGAAGCCGGUGGAGUAACCAUUUGGAGCUAGCCGUCGAAGGUGGGACAAAUGAUUGGGGUGAAGUCGUAACAAGGUAGCCGUAUCGGAAGGUGCGGCUGGAUCACCUCCUUU